UGCCAGCCGCCGCGGUAAUACGGAGGGUCCAAGCGUUGUUCGGAAUCAUUGGGCGUAAAGCGCGCGUAGGCGGCCAGGUAAGUCGUAUGUGAAAGCCCGAGGCUCAACCUCGGAAUUGCAAGCGAUACUGCCUGGCUAGAGUCCCGGAGAGGAUGGCGGAAUUCCCGGUGUAGAGGUGAAAUUCGUAGAGAUCGGGAGGAACACCAGUGGCGAAGGCGGCCAUCUGGACGGUGACUGACGCUGAGGUGCGAAAGCGUGGGGAGCAAACAGGAUUAGAUA
rnacentral:rRNA from 1 species